AUUGAACGCUGGCGGCAGGCCUAACACAUGCAAGUCGAGCGAGCGGCGGACGGGUGAGUAAUGCCUAGGAAUCUGCCUGGUAGUGGGGGAUAACGUCCGGAAACGGGCGCUAAUACCGCAUACCAUCAGAUGUGCCCAGAUGGGAUUAGCUAGUAGGUGGGGUAAUGGCUCACCUAGGCGACGAUCCCUAGCUGGUCUGAGAGGAUGACCAGCCACACUGGAACUGAGACACGGUCCAGAAUCCUACGGGAGGCAACAGUGGGGAAGAUUGCACAGUGGGCGCAAGCCUGAUGCAGCCAUGCCGCGUGUAUGAAGAAGGCCUUGGGGUUGUAAAGUACGUUCAGCGGGGAGGCGUUACCCGCAGAAGAAGCACCGGCUAACUCCGUGCCAGCAGCCGCGGUAAUAC
rnacentral:rRNA from 1 species